ACCGGUGCGCGUUACAUGCUUCCCCCUCUCCCUUUCCCGCCGCCCAAGAAGCAUAUGUAUGUGCGCAAAGAUAGAAAGAGAGAGAGAGGAGAGAGGGGGGGAUAGAGAGAGAGAGAGAGUGUGUUAUAUUCUACGUGGCUGCACCGUGGUGGUGGUGGUGGUGGAUGUGGAGGAGGAGUCGCAGGGCCGUAUGCGAAUGUUUGGAUUACAGGAGGCGGGGGAGAGGAGGGGACUAGGAGGGAAGAAGCCAUUUUCUGCACGAAAAAAUAUGCCGCGUAAUACCUGCGCGCGAUGAUUCUGUAAUUAGCUUUCUCAUGCAUACGCAAAUAAAAUUUCUAAAUUAGUCAGUCAAGUUAAACACUAUAUUUUAUUAAUCAUUUUGAUUUUACCAGUUUGCUUUUCUCCCCGAUUCGUAUAAAUUGAUCCUCUAGUUCUUAAAAAUUGAAUUUAUAAAUAAAUUAGUUUAUCGAUUGAUUUAUCAACUUGGCUGCGUUUUAUUACUGUGUACUAGCUUAUUGGUUUUUAAUUCUUUCUCUCUGUUUGUCCAUCUUUGUCUCUUAUGAGACUGCAAUUUUUGAUUCUAACAAAGUCCGCAAUCUCGACGGGUUUCGCGAUUCUCCUUUCGAUACGCGCCGCGUUCGUUAAUGAUACGUUGGCGACGAUACAGGCUAACAUAAAAGAAAAAAAAAAAAACGACCGAGGCUUUGCAUCCUCGCGUGACAUAACCGAUGUCAACGUACACAUAGGUCGUGGCACGAUCAUUGACGCGCCUCCUAGUAAUUCGACGCCAAUUCUCGUCGUUGAGCUUCGAUUUAUCUCGACAUCUUGUCGAUAUGCAAGAGGCGCGAUUCGGGACGGGAUUCGGAACGGACAUCGUUGCACAUCAACGUGCGAAGUAUAUCUCUAUACUUCCAUAACAGAUCGAGAAAAGCAAUGAAGCAAUGAAUAAAAAGAAGAGAAUUUUCGUUUUGCAAAUUUUGUUGGAUGUAUCACGUAUCUGCGAAUCAAUCAUUUUAUUUCGCACUUUUAUGUGGACGGCACAGUUGUAUCGGGAAUACUGACACUUUAUCCAAGGCAAUUGGAAUAACUUAUUUACUACCACUACUGUUUGCAAAUGAAGACACCGUGUUAUCUGCUAAUUAUGGCGUGUUUGCACGAGGCAAUAAUAAGGCAUCUUUAAUCAUAUAACACAGAGAUGCAGAUACUUAUCUUCCUAUUCCUACUUUGUCUGAGGUAUGGACGGAUAUCGGUAGUGGACGACACGGCCUCGGGAUUAACUCUCUCUGAGCACAUUGGACAAGUCUCUUCAGACUCCACGAUUCUAGCGUAAUACGAAAUACAUUGCAACAUGAUUUUAAAUAUAGUAUUCACACCCUUCUCGUAAUAUUUACCUUAGAAAUUCACUUCUGAUGGCUGGAAAAUCACAAUGGGGGCAUACCGUAAAAUCAUCCUCGACGAUGUGCCGUCCCUGUAGAUACGCGAUAGUCAUAGAAAUAAAAGAACUUCAUUGAUUCCUCUUUUCACCAUGUUUUUACACUUAUCACAGGUCACUUCAGUCUCAGGAAGCCUGCUCUUACAGUAUGGACACGAGGUGAGAGGCUCAUCUUCGUUCUCGAUAUCCUUUGUUCUCGGUGGUUUCCUCACGAUUGCCUCAAUUUUCUUGCUGUACUUUGCGUCGACUUGUCCCCGAUACUCGGGGCGCAUCAACAUAGCGGCGAAAUUGAAAGCUGCGUUCUUCAAGCCCGCUCUGUGACAUUCUAUCACGGUUGAAGUUAAUAUCGAAAUGACUCUUGCUGUACUAACGUGAGGGAAACUUCGAUAUGUUGUUGGCCACUCUUAUAAGCAUCCGAGCACCUCGUAAAUGAUCACUUCUUUUCACGUGUAAUCUCACUAGGAUAUAAGAAUGCAAGAGUCUUAAAU